rnacentral:rRNA from 1 species
GACGAACGCUGGCGGCGUGCUUAACACAUGCAAGUCGAACGGAAAGGCCCUGCUUUCGUGGGGUGCUCGAGUGGCGAAGGGGUGAGUAACACGAGAGAAACGUGCCCUUGACUUUGGGAUAAAUUCAGGAAACUGGGGAUAAUACCGGAUAGGAGCUCCUGCUGCAUGGUGGGGGUGGGAAAGUUUCGGCGGUUGGGGAUGGACUCUCGGCUUAUCAGCUUGUUGGUGGGGUAGUGGCUUACCAAGGCUUUGACGGGUAGCCGGCCUGAGAGGGUGACCGGCCACAUUGGGACUGAGAUUCGGCCCAGACUCCUACGGGAGGCAGCAGUGGGGAAUAUUGCACAAUGGGCGGAAGCCUGAUGCAGCAACGCCGCGUGCGGGAUGACGGCCUUCGGGUUGUAAACCUCUUUCACCUGUGACGAAGCGUGAGUGACGGUAAUGGGUAAAGAAGCACCGGCUAACUACGUG